AAGACAUUAGUAAAUUUGUACAUUACACCACUUUGUCAAGGUGGAAUCGUAGGUUAAACUCCUGCAUGUCUUA
rnacentral:tRNA from 1 species